UGGUUGGUCGAUUUUUUAUUUUGGCAUUUCGUCGAUUUCGUUUCGUUUCGUUUCGGUUGUUGUUGUUGUUGUAAUCGUUAAAAAUGGUUACUCCCUUUAUUUUUCUUCACUAUACCAGAUUCUGUAACAACAACAACAACAACAACAACGACGACGACGACGACCUGAAUCGUAUCCUUGACAGCAGAAUAUAGAAAAAAACACCAGUUUCAGCUGCCACUGCAAUGAUCUGUAGCAAUCAUUGACCAUUAACCACCACCGUCACCACCACCACCAUGAGGAUUAUGAAUGUAGAAAAAAAUAUUCUUUAUUGGUGCCUAGAUACAGCCGUUCAACUUGAUUACAACAAUGAUUGCUGACAACGAAAAUUAUGAUAAUGAUGAUGAUGAUGAUGAUGUUGGAUCAAAAAAAAAAGAAAGUUGUAGACGACAAUAACAACAACAACAACAACAACAAAAUGUCAGACAUUUGUAUCGUCAAGAAUAGUAAAUGAAUACAGAAUGCGCAAAAUGAAAAAAAAACAAACAAACAUAAUCAGUUUCAUCAUCAUUAUCAUUGGAUUCCAACAACAACAACAACAACAAUGAUCACCUUCAAUGGUAGUUAUGGUGCAAUGCAGAAAUUUCUUUUUUUUUCAAAAUGAAAAAAAAAUGUUGCCACCACCGAACCGAGAUAAAAAAAAAUCAUGAAUCAGAUUUGAUUCUAUAUCGUUCAUUCGAGAAUCAUUUAUUUUGACUAGUGGUUUUUCUUUUCUUUUUUUUUGUCAUUUACUUGUCACAUUUUAUUUCUCAUAUUAUCAG